UCUUUGCUUGGGAAGGGAAAGAGGAAGGUUUCUUUUACUUUUUUUUUUUGAGAAGAGAAAAUUCAGAAACUUGGAGGCAGCAAUAGUUAGGGUUCAGGGCGAACUGGUAAAUGACGGAGGGGCGUCUUCCAAAACCAAGGAGAAAGGGCUGUCCCGAUCCUUAAAUGCAGGGCUUGGUCUUUCAUUAUUGUAUCUUCAGCACCUAGAAGAGUUCCUGGUAAAUAAGUAUUUAAUAAAUAUUUAUUGAAAA